rnacentral:rRNA from 1 species
CCUACGGGAGGCAGCAGUGAGGAAUAUUGGUCAAUGGACGAGAGUCUGAACCAGCCAAGUAGCGUGAAGGAUGACUGCCCUAUGGGUUGUAAACUUCUUUUAUAUGGGAAUAAAACGUUCCACGUGUGGGAUUUUGUAUGUACCAUAUGAAUAAGGAUCGGCUAACUCCGUGCCAGCAGCCGCGGUAAUACGGAGGAUCCGAGCGUUAUCCGGAUUUAUUGGGUUUAAAGGGAGCGUAGGUGGAUUGUUAAGUCAGUUGUGAAAGUUUGUGGCUCAACCGUAAAAUUGCAGUUGAAACUGGCAGUCUUGAGUACAGUAGAGGUGGGCGGAAUUCGUGGUGUAGCGGUGAAAUGCUUAGAUAUCACGAAGAACUCCGAUUGCGAAGGCAGUUCACUGGACUGCAACUGACACUGAGGCUCGAAAGUGUGGGUAUCAAACAGGAUUAGAUAUCCGUGUAGUC